GAUGAACGCUGGCGGCGUGCCUAAUACAUGCAAGUCGAGCGCGGGAAGCAGACGGAAUCCUUCGGGAGGAAGUUUGUGGAACGAGCGGCGGACGGGUGAGUAACACGUGGGCAACCUACCUGUAAGACUGGGAUAACUCGCGGAAACGCGAGCUAAUACCGGAUGAAACUUUCCAUCACCUGAUGGAAAGAUGAAAGGCGGCUUCGGCUGUCACUUACAGAUGGGCCCGCGGCGCAUUAGCUAGUUGGUGGGGUAAUGGCUCACCAAGGCGACGAUGCGUAGCCGACCUGAGAGGGUGAUCGGCCACACUGGGACUGAGACACGGCCCAGACUCCUACGGGAGGCAGCAGUAGGGAAUCUUCCGCAAUGGACGAAAGUCUGACGGAGCAACGCCGCGUGAGUGAUGAAGGUUUUCGGAUCGUAAAACUCUGUUGUUAGGGAAGAACAAGUAUCGUUCGAAUAGGGCGGUACCUUGACGGUACCUAACCAG
rnacentral:rRNA from 1 species